rnacentral:rRNA from 1 species
GAUGAACGCUGGCGGCAGGCCUAACACAUGCAAGUCGAGGGGUAACGAGAGGAAAGCUUGCUUUCCUUGUCGACGACCGGCGCACGGGUGAGUAACGCGUAUCCAACCUGCCCCCAACUAGGGAAUAACCUUGCGAAAGUAAGACUAAUACCCUAUAAUUUCCUCAGAUGACAUCUGACGAGGAAUAAAGAUUUAUCGGUUGUGGAUGGGGAUGCGUCUGAUUAGCUUGUUGGCGGGGUAACGGCCCACCAAGGCAACGAUCAGUAGGGGUUCUGAGAGGAAGGUCCCCCACAUUGGAACUGAGACACGGUCCAAACUCCUACGGGAGGCAGCAGUGAGGAAUAUUGGUCAAUGGGCGGAAGCCUGAACCAGCCAAGUAGCGUGCAGGAUGACGGCCCUAUGGGUUGUAAACUGCUUUUAUACAGGAAUAAAGUUAGCCACGUGUGGUUAUUUGUAGGUACUGUAUGAAUAAGGACCGGCUAAUUCCGUGCCAGCCGCCGCCGUAA